UACGUAGGGUGCAAGCGUUGUCCGGAAUUAUUGGGCGUAAAGAGCUCGUAGGCGGUUCGUCGCGUCGGCUGUGAAAUCCCGGAGCUCAACUCCGGGUCUGCAGUCGAUACGGGCGGACUUGAGUACUGCAGGGGAGACUGGAAUUCCUGGUGUAGCGGUGAAAUGCGCAGAUAUCAGGAGGAACACCGAUGGCGAAGGCAGGUCUCUGGGCCGAUACUGACGCUGAGGAGCGAAAGCGUGGGGAGCGAACAGG
rnacentral:rRNA from 1 species